rnacentral:lncRNA from 1 species
AUUCUGAGCUCAUAAGGUUAUAAUGUAACAUAUAAUGCUAAGGUUUGUACAUAUGUAUGAAUAUCUCGUCCAAGUGGGAGAUUGUUAGAUAUAUGCACUUAUAUCUACAUAUAUAUGAACAAUAUAUGGAUAAAUUAUGUGUUAUGUGCUAUCUUUUGGUUUGGCCUAUAUAAGUGGUCUUAUGGACAUUAUGUUAAGGGUGCCAAUAUAUUGUCAUAUAAAGUGUAGGACUAAUGUGUAGAUACCCAAAAGGGUAACCUUAGUUGAUGAUGCGCUAACU